rnacentral:lncRNA from 1 species
UGAACUUGUAUGCCUGGAAUGCUGUUUGUUACGGAUUGCAUGUUUUUUUUCCAGAAGGACAAUCCAGCAGGGUGAUGGAGUUGCUUUUCAGGUGAGAGAGCUGGAAAGGAUUGAGCCCUGCCUAGGGAUGAAUGAACAACUAGAGGAGUGCUUGUGAGCUGUGACUGCUGAGGAUGCUCCUUGACGAUCCUGGAUCCCAGAGGAAAGCGUCUUUGAGGAAGGAUGCCUUCCUGAUUGCAGAGGAGGCGGCAAAGAUCACGUGGACAAAAUUGGUGCCCCCCAGGUCCUAGUGGGACGUGCCUGUGUGUGGCGAAGGAGCUGGCAGAAGUGAGCGCCAGCUGGCUCUGUGUCACAUUCUUUAUGAUGUUUUCUAUAGGAAAGUUGUGUGAGGACGGGAGGAUAGCCAGCAUCACGGCAGCCUUCAAGAAGGGUAAGAAGGAGGGCCUGCAUAACCCUAGGCC